GAUAAAGUGGCUGAGCGAUAGGCGGUAGAUUGUAAAUUUAUUAACGAGUAGAGACUCCUUUGUCA
rnacentral:tRNA from 1 species